GAUGAACGCUGGCGGCGUGCUUAACACAUGCAAGUCGAACGGAAAGGCCCCAGCUUGCUUGGGUACUCGAGUGGCGAACGGGUGAGUAACACGUGGGUGAUCUGCCCUGCACUUCGGGAUAAGCCAGGGAAACUGGGUCUAAUACCGGAUAGGACCACUUCGUCGUUGUUGUGGUGGAAAGUUUUUUCGCUGUGGGAGGUGCUCGCGGCCUAUCAGCUUGUGGGUGUGGUAAUGGCCUACCAACGCUUCGACGGGUAGCCUGCCUGAGAGGGGCUACGGACACAGUCGGACUGUUGUGCAGCGAAGAAUAGUAGGGAAGGCAGCAGCGGGAAAUAUUGCACAAAGGGCGGAAGUCUGAUGCAACGACGCAGUGGGGGGGAUGACGGCCGUCGGGUUAUAAGCACCUAUCGCAAAAGACGAAUUUAGGAUGGUAUUUGGAGAAGAAGCACCGGCUAACUACGUG
rnacentral:rRNA from 1 species